GCCUAUAACCACGGACGCGGCCCUCAGUUUGUAUGCAUGGAAACCAAUUAACUUUCUCUCCGCGACAUGCUAGGAAUUUAUUUGGCCCAUCAAAUCCUUGUGUUGGUAGCAACUACUACGCCUGGGUUUGUUUUCUUCAACGCUGAUAAAAUAUUCUUCCUUCUUCCUGUGAUUAGUGUCUCUUCAAUUUCAUUCCAUGUUUUAGUGAGAGGAGGGGACGAAGGAGAUGAGUAGUAUCUGGAAGAGGAUGGGCGGCCGUGAUCAAGCAUUUGUUUGACCCGGAUGAGAUGCCGCGGAUUGGUGAUAUGGCGUCAAACAAAACAAAACAGCCCGCCUAAUCAUCCUAAUUAAUGAUUUGAUUGAUGGCAUGCAUUCUGCGAGUGGCUACGCUUGCAUGAUCCAGGGAUCUCCAGCAUGCUAUCCUUUCUCUGUUAUUGGGAAAUGCUACGGUUUUGUUUGACCGAGUAAUUCACAUCAAAUCUAUUUAGGCAUUUCCAAAAAAAUUACACAAGUUGAUCUUCA